rnacentral:rRNA from 1 species
GCAGCACGGACUUCGGUCUGGUGGCGAGUGGCGAACGGGUGAGUAAUGUAUCGAACGUGCCUAGUAGCGGGGAUAACUACGCGAAAAGGUAGCUAAUACCGCAUACGCCCUUCGGGGGAAAGCGGGGGACCUUCGGGCCUCGCACUAUUAGAGCGGCCGAUAUCGGAUUAGCUAGUUGGUGGGGUAACGGCUCACCAAGGCGACGAUCCGUAGCUGGUUUGAGGACGACCAGCCACACUGGGACUGAGACACGGCCCAGACUCCUACGGGAGGCAGCAGUGGGGAAUUUUGGACAAUGGGAACUGAUCCAGCCAUCCCGCGUGUGCGAUGAAGGCCUUCGGGUUGUAAAGCACUUUUGGCAGGAAAGAAACGGUGACGGGAUAAUACCCGUGCAACUGACGGUACCUGCAGAAUAAGCACCGGCUAAUCACGUGCCAGCAGCCGCGGUAAUACGUAGGGUGCAAGCGUUAAUCGGAAUUACUGGGCGUAAAGCGUGCGCAGCGGUUCGGAAAGAAAGAUGUGAAACUUGUAGCUUAACUUUUGGAACUGCAUUUUUAACUACCGAGCUAGAGUGUGUCAGAGGGAGGUGGAAUUCGGGCGUGUAGCAGUGAAAUGCGUAGAUAUGCGGAGGAACGCCGAUGGCGAAGGCAGCCUCCCGGGAUAACACUGACGCUCAUGCACGAAAGCGGGGAGCAAACAGGAUUAGAUACCCUGGUAGUCCACGCCCUAAACGAUGUCAACUAGCUGUUGGGGCCUUCGGGCCUUGCAGCGCAGCUAACGCGUGAAGUUGACCGCCUGGGGAGUACGGUCGCAAGAUUAAAACCUCAAAGGAAUUGACGGGGACCCGGCACAAGCGGUGGAUGAUGUGGAUUAAUUCGAUGCAACGCGAAAACCUUACCUACCCUUGACAUGUCUGGAAUCCCGAAGAGAUUUGGGAGUGCUCGCAAGAGAACCGGAACACAGGUGCUGCAUGGCUGUCGUCAGCUCGUGUCGUGAGAUGUUGGGUUAAGUCCCGCAACGAGCGCAACCCUUGUCAUUAGUUGCUACGAAAGGGCACUCUAAUGAGACUGCCGGUGACAAACCGAGGAAGGUGAUGACGUCAAGUCCUCAUGGCCCUUAUGGGUAGGGCUUCACACGUCAUACAAUGGUCGGGACAGAGGGUCGCCAACCCGCGAGGGGGGAGCCAAUCCCAGAAACCCGAUCGUAGUCCGGAUCGCAGGCUCAACUCGACUGCGUGAAGUCGGAAUCGCUAGUAACGUGAUCAGCAUGUCGCGGUGAAUACGUUCCCGGGUCUUGUACACACCGCCCGUCACACCAUGGGAGUGGGUUUUACCAGAAGUAGUUAGCCUAACCGUAAGGAGGGCGAUUACCGCCACGGUAGGAUUCAGACUGGAAGGAAGUCGUAACAAGGUAG